AGCAGCCGCGGUAAUUCCAGCUCCAAUAGCGUAUAUUAAAGUUGUUGCAGUUAAAAAGCUCGUAGUUGAAUUUCGGGACUAAUAUGUCGGUCGUACUUUGUACGUACUAGCAUUAUUGGUUUCUCCCUUCUGACGAACCAUGAUGUCAUUAAUUUGGUGUCUUGGGGAAUCAGGACUGUUACUUUGAAAAAUUAGAGUGUUUAAAGCAGGCUCACGCUUGAAUACAUUAGCAUGGAAUAACGAAAUAGGACGUUUGAUUCUAUUUUGUUGGUUUCUAGGAUCGACGUAAUGAUUAAUAGGGAUAGUUGGGGCGAUUAGUAUUCAAUUGUCAGAGGUGAAAUUCUUGGAUUUAUUGAAGACUAACUACUGCGAAAGCAUUUUGUCCAAGG
rnacentral:rRNA from 1 species